rnacentral:misc_RNA from 1 species
GAUGAAGAACGCAGCGAAAUGCGAAAAGUAAUGUGAAUUGCAGAAUUCAGUGAAUCAUCGAAUCUUUGAACGCACAUUGCGCCCGCCAGUAUUCUGGCGGGCAUGCCUGUCUGAGCGUCAUUUCAACCCUCAUGCCCCUAGGGCGUGGUGUUGGGGAUCGGCCAGCGCCCGCGAGGGACGGCCGGCCCCUAAACCUAGUGGCGGACCCGUCGUGGCCUCCCCUGCGAAGUAGUGAUAUUCCGCAUAGGAGAGCGACGAGCCCCUGCCGUUAAACCCCCAACUUUCUAAGGUUGACCUCAGAUCAGGUAGGAAUACCCGCUGAACUUAAGCAUAUCAAAAAGCGGAGGA